UAAAUCCCUUGAUUAUAUAUGCUAGUCACUGAAACCCUUCAAGGCGACUUUUUUUGUUCUUUCUUCUUCUUUUUCCUUAGAAAAAAAAUACUAUUAAUAAAUUGAGAUAGCUAGGUCCGUCUUACUAAACAUCACCACCACCACCACCACCACCUCAAUGGCUUCUCCGGCUAGCGGACGCGGAGCAUCAGUAUCCGGUGAAGUUCCGGCCAGCCGUAUUGAGCAUGGGCGUCCUCUUCCCUCUGUCAAACAUCCUCCUAGUUCCGCUGCCACCAAUUCAGAUGGGAUGGCAAAAGUAUUCCCCAAUUCUGGUGAUAAUGGUAGUAAUCGGAACUCGACUAGAAUCCCCAAUGCUAAUGGUACUGCUGAUUUCAAGUCUUCGAAAAUUUUGAAAAAAGCUCAUGAGCUCAAAGAACAUGGGAAUAAAAAGUUUCAAAAUAAGGAUUAUGUCGGUGCUCUUGAACAGUAUGAUAAUGCUCUUAGAUUAAUUCCCAAAACCCACCCCGAUCGUGCUGUCUUCCAUAGCAAUCGAGCUGCCUGUUUGAUGCAAAUGAAACCUAUUGACUAUGAUGCUGUCAUUUCCGAGUGUAAUAUGGCCCUUCAGGUUCAGCCUCGCUUUGUCAGAGCUCUCCUUAGAAGGGCUCGUGCUUUUGAGGCCACGGGUAAGCUUGAAAUGGCGAUGCAGGAUAUUCAGCUUUUGUUAGGUGUUGAACCCAACCAUAAGGAUGCUUUGGAUAUUGCUGGUAGAUUGAGGACUGUGCUGGGUUCUCGCCAGGAGGCUCAGCAGGAUCUCCAUAGCCGCCCUUCUCCUGCUGCGCUUGGGGCAUCUGCAGUUCAUGGAGCACCAAUUUCUGGUCUUGGGCCUUGUUUACCUGCCAGACCUGUGUCGAAGAAGGUGUCAACUCCACUUGAGGCAUCAGCUGUUUUGGCUGGUAAUAAACUUGAUAAGUCACCGACGAAUUCGGUUAGUGAGAAUGGUCCUGAGACCAAAACUCACCUGCCAAAACUUGUGUCGAAGCCUUCAACUGGUUCUUCAAAAUCCACAACUGUUACCAACAAGGAUACACAAGGAGAGCAGCCUUUUUCUUCAUCUGCAUCAUUGCCAGUCAAGGUGGCAGUCCAAUGGAGACCGCUGAAACUUGUUUAUGAUCAUGACAUUAGAUUAUCGCAGAUGCCAGUGAAAUGCACAUUUAAAGAGCUAAGAGACAUAGUGAGCAAACGAUUUCCAUCUUCUAAGUCGGUUUUGAUCAAGUAUAAAGAUAGUGAUGGAGACUUGGUGACUUUAACAUGUACUGCUGAACUCAGAUUAGCAGAGUCCUCUGCAGACAGCCUCUUGCCUAGGGACCCCGAUACAGAUAAAUCUGAUGCGAUUGGGAUGUUAAGAUUGCAUAUUGUUGAGGUGAGUCCAGAGCAGGAGCCUCCUUUGCUGGAGGAAGAGGAGGAGAAACCUCUCGACACUGAAGGGACCAAGGAGGAUGAAAGUGUUUCUCAUUCUUCACUUGGGGAUUCCGUAUUGGAAUCAGUUGAUAAUGAAAUUGACAAUGCAGAGAAGGAAGCUCCAAAGGAGAAAACAGGGGCUUCAGAAGACCCAGAGAGCAGGGAAGUAGAGAUGGAUGAUUGGUUGUUUGAGUUUGCUCAGCUUUUCAGAACUCAUGUCGGUAUUGACCCAGAUGCUCAUCUUGAUUUGCAUGAGCUUGGGAUGGAGCUGUGCUCCGAGGCUCUUGAGGAGACUGUGACUAGUGAAGAAGCUCAGAGUCUCUUUGACAAAGCUGCCUUAAAGUUCCAGGAGGUAUCUGCUCUUGCUUUCUUCAAUUGGGGAAAUGUCCACAUGUGUGCAGCAAGGAAACGAAUUCCCUUAGAUGAGUCUGCUGGAAAGGAGGUUAUGUCGGCGCAACUUCAAGUAGCUUAUGAUUGGGUCAAGGAGAAAUAUUCUUUGGCCAGGGAGAAGUAUGAGGAGGCACUAUUGAUUAAGCCGGACUUCUAUGAGGGGCUGCUUGCACUAGGGCAGCAGCAAUUUGAAAUGGCCAAACUUCAUUGGUCAUUUGCACUUGCUAAGAAAAUUGAUCUCUCAAACUGGGACUCUACAGAAACUCUUAAACUUUUUGACAGUGCAGAGGAGAAAAUGAAAGCAGCAACUGAGAUGUGGGAGAAGCUGGAAGAGCAGAGAGCUAAAGAGCUAAAAGAUCCUACUGCAGCCAAGAAGGAAGAAUUGUUGAGGAGAAGGAAGAAACAGGGAAGCAGCGAAGGCGAGUCAGGCAAUGGUGAAAUAUCACCGGAAGAAGCAGCUGAACAAGCAGCAGUGAUGAGAUCACAGAUACAUCUCUUCUGGGGUAACAUGCUUUUUGAACGAUCCCAAGUUGAAUGCAAAUUGGGGAUGGAUGGUUGGAAGAAAAACCUCGAUGUUGCUGUCGAACGCUUUGGUCUUGCUGGAGCUUCCGAGGCCGACAUCUCAAUGGUCUUGAAAAACCAUUGCUCUAAUGGAGAGGUAGUUGAAGGAGGUGAAAAGAAAGCUGAGAAUGCUAACACUGGAGAUGCUGGUGAAGCAAAAAAGAGCAAGAAGAUGGAAAAAGCGUGAGACAAUUAUAAUGGACUGGCAUCAACUGUUUACCUCCAGGUAGUUACCUGAAUAGCGAAUGCAGACUCAAAUAUGCAGCAGAAGGGUUGAAGGGUGGGUCUUUUCUUUGGAAUUGAGAAUUUUUGUCCCAACAGUGUGCAUUCAACAAUGAUGUACUUGAGAGAUUGCUUUUAAGGUCUCCAUAAUUGAUUCGAGAAAAUGGACGAGUGCUAAAGAAUCAGGACCGACUGUUGAUGCUUUUAACAAUGAAGAGACUAGGCGCCUUAGAGAAACUGCUUCACAAAUGUUGAUUAAAGUGAGUGAUUCUUGAACUAUAUGGUUUCUCAAGAACAAGAUAUGUAAUCUGAAUUAAUGGUUUUAUUACAUGUUUCUUAAAAUAUUUUAUAUGCUUUUCUGUCAUUGGUUGGUUCUUGAACGGAUUCUUGUAAUGAUAUUUGAUUGAUUUGAAAAUGAGGGUAACUUGACCAA